UACCUGGUUGAUCCUGCCAGUAGUCAUAUGCUUGUCUCAAAGAUUAAGCCAUGCAAGUCUAAGUACGAGCUCUCGUACAGUGAAACUGCGAAUGGCUCAUUAAAUCAGUUAUGGUUCAUUUGAUCGUACAGUUUACUUGGAUAACUGUGGUAAUUCUAGAGCUAAUACAUGCGAGAAGCGCCGACCUCGCGGGAGGCGUGCAUUUAUCAGACCAAAAACCGGCCGCGUCUUCGGGCGCGUUCGCCUUGGUGACUCUGGAUAACUUUGCGGAUCGCACGGUCUAGCACCGGCGACGGAUCAUUCAAGUGUCUGCCCUAUCAACUUUCGUCGGUACGGUAUUUGCCUACCGAGG
rnacentral:ncRNA from 1 species